rnacentral:lncRNA from 10 species
CAGUCCAACGUGGUCCCUUCACCCGGGCUCCGCUCUUGCCUUCUCCACACUUGUUUGAGACCUGGCAAGGUGCGGAGCCCUCCAGAAGUGCGGUCAAGCGGCAGCGGAGACGGCGAGCCAGGAACCUCCCCCCGCGUCCCCAGCUUCCCAGCGUGGCGGCGGAACCCCCGGAGAAAGUUUGCAAACUUCCAGCGGGCGCGGCGAGGACGCCGGGUCACCUAGGGGGCGGGUGGGCGCGCGCGCAGGGGGCUCGCUCUCCCCGGUGCGGAGCUGCAGCUGCCACCUCUCCCGCCGGGCUGCCGGCUGCAGCGGGUGGGCGCGCGCCCGGGGAGGGGAGGUCGCCCUCGGAGGGCGCUUGGCUUUCGCUCCAGGCGCUCCGGGCUGGAGAGCGGCGAGGCUCCGUCCGCUCCAGUCCACUCCUCCGGCCGCCUCCUGCCUCCGCUGCUUUCUUGCUGGCAUCGUUACCUCUUCCCGGCCGCUGCCCCAAAUGACAGCUCCGGCUCGAGCUUUGGCGGCGCCCAGGCAAUUCCCAAGACCUGGCGGCGGAGUCUCCCCCUGCGGCAGAUUCUCGGCAGAAUCACUUGAACUUUUCACGAAGUUCUU